GAUGAAGAACGUAGCGAAAUGCGAUAAGUAAUGUGAAUUGCAGAAUUCAGUGAAUCAUCGAAUCUUUGAACGCACAUUGCGCCCGCCAGUAUUCUGGCGGGCAUGCCUGUUCGAGCGUCAUUUCAACCAUCAAGCCCCAGGCUUGUGUUGGGGACCUGCGGCUGCCGCAGGCCCUGAAAACCAGUGGCGGGCUCGCUGUCACACCGGGCGUAGUAGAUUUUAUCUCGCUCAGGGCGUGCUGCGGGUUCCGGCCGUUAAAAAGCCUUUUUUACCCAAGGUUGACCUCGGAUCAGGUAGGAAGACCCGCUGAACUUAAGCAUAUCAUAGCGGAGGA
rnacentral:misc_RNA from 1 species